rnacentral:lncRNA from 1 species
UCGGGGUAGUAAUGGCGCGGACGGACGGACGAAUAACCUAGAAGCGGAGCUUGGUGAAGAACCACCUGUUCUUGCCGGUCUUGAACCUCUCCUCGAGCUUGGCCUUGGCGGACUUGGCGGCGGUGAGCUUCUUGUCCUUGGUGGUGAGGGAGUCGGGGGCGCCGGAGGCCACCUCCUUGAGGUCGACGUCGAGGGUGUAGCGGGUGGGCAUGAGGUGGGUGAAGUUGACGAGCUUGAGGAAGACCUUGACGCGCGACUUCUUGGCCGUCUUCUUCGCCGAGUCCUUGCGGAUCACCUUCUUGGG